rnacentral:rRNA from 1 species
AUUGAACGCUGGCGGCAGGCCUAACACAUGCAAGUCGAGCGAGCGGCGGACGGGUGAGUAAUGUCUGGGAAACUGCCUGAUGGAGGGGGAUAACUACUGGAAACGGUAUCUAAUACCGCAUACCAUCGGAUGUGCCCAGAUGGGAUUAGCUAGUAGGUGGGGUAAAGGCUCACCUAGGCGACGAUCCCUAGCUGGUCUGAGAGGAUGACCAGCCACACUGGAAAUGAGACGCGGCCCAGACACAGACGGGAGGCAGAAGUGGGGAAUAUUGCACAAUGGGGGCAAGCCUGAUGCAGCCAUGCCGCGUGUAUGAAGAAGGCCUUCAGGUUGUAAAGUACUUGCAGCGGGGAGGCGUUACCCGCAGAAGAAGCACCGGCUAACUCCGUGCCAGCAGCCGCGGUAAUUC